AAGAAAGUGAGUGCCGCCCCGCAUAGGGGCGACGCUAAUAGACCACGAACAAUUCAAGGAAAGGCCAACGCCGCAGGCAGACAGACAAACCAGCGCCGCGCAGACAAAC
rnacentral:sRNA from 1 species